ACGAGGAUUUUCUAUGUAAACAUGCACUAGACUAGAUGUUUUUAAACGUUUCCCACCGCGUUUUAAAUGCGCCAUGACAAGUUAAAAGAAAAACUUAUAAGCCUGCAGUGUUAUUAAAUCUUACGUCGUAACUCUAAUAAAUCCAACAAUCGUUGGACCGCAAGUCAUGUGCGCGCACGCUUAGGCGAUCACAAGCGCUCUUGGCGGGAACUAGAGCUUGUAAACGACGCCAGAUGAUGAUUCUCACGAAGACUCUAUCAAGUGCGUAGUUACUGAAGCCAGUCAGCGUUUGUUUAGUUGCAUUUGAUGCUUUUAAAAUAACUGCAGUUGUCAAAGACACUAUAUGUCUGUUUUUGCAUUAAAACAUAAACAGCGUCAUGAGUGUUGAGAACAGAGACUUGUUACAUAAGGGCCAGGCUGUGGAUAAAGUUCCAAACUGGGAUGUAAACGUUGAUGGAUGCAUCAAGAUCUGAUGAAACAAGGAAAGCAAGGGUUGGGGCUGUCAGGCUCGUGAGUUGCUGUGGACUUGGCGGCUAAUUGAGGAGCAGCUCCACACCCUGUCGUCAUUAAUCACUAGGGCUGCCGGGCUGCCUGCCCGGGACACUGCUGUGAUGGGCUGCAGCUCUCUCCCUUUCUCACACACACUCUUUCUCUCCUCAGUAGUUGACUGGACACAUUGGGAAGGAGGGGGGGUCUUGCCCCCCAACCUCCAUUCUAAGCCCAGUGGGACAGCAGAGAAAGGGAGAAAGAGAUCAAUCAAACAGGUGUAGCCCUGCUGAGAAGACACUGGUCAGGGACUAAAUUAACUCCACACCCCCACCCACACAUCCAUCCAGCUCCCCUCCCCUCCACAAGCAGGCGACAGAAACAGAGUGACUGCAUAUUGACUCAGCUGGAGCCCGGGAGACGAGGGAGAGAAAGAUAGAUGGCAGGGAGAGAUUGAUGAGGAGAAAGACUGAGAAAAGGAUAGAGCAGGAAUGUGAUGAACGAGUGGGAAAGGAGUGAUGGCAGGAUUAAUCUCUCACCUUCGGACAAAACGUAAAAUGUCCUCCCCUCCGUUUAACCUUGCUGUACUGGCUUUAACUAAUAUUUGAUCUCUUUUUUCUCAUUCUUCAUCAAAACCCUGCGUAUUUACAUGCCCAGAACAUUUUGUGUAUUCUCAUUUGUUCAAAAUAAAACAAAUUGCUGACUAAA